UUAGAUGUCCGGGGCCGCACGCGUGCUACACUGAAGGAAUCAGCGUGUGUUCUCCCGGUCCGUCGGGAUCGGGUAACCCGCUGAAACUCCUUCGUGAUAGGGAUAGGGGAUUGUAACUGUUCCCCUCGAACGAGGAAUUCCUAGUAGUCGCGGAUCAUCAGUCCGCGGCGACUAGGUCCCUGCCCUUUGUGCACACCGCCCGUCGCUACUACCGAUUGAACGAAUUAGUGAGGUCUUCGGACUGGCGUUCCCUCUGGGCAUCCGUCCGGUGGGACCUGCCGGAAAGAUGACCGAACUUGUUCGUUUAGAGGAAGUAAAAGUCGUAACAAGGUUACC
rnacentral:rRNA from 1 species